AGGAAUGGCGGGGUGCUAUACAUGCAAGUCGAGCGGACUUGAUGGGAGCUUGCUCCCUGAUAGUCAGCGGCGGACGGGUGAGUAACACGUGGGCAACCUACCUUUAAGACUGGGAUAACUUCGGGAAACCGGAGCUAAUACCGGAUAACAUGUAAGACCACAUGGUCUUACAUUAAAAGAUGGCUUCGGCUAUCACUUAUAGAUGGGCCCGCGGCGCAUUAGCUAGUUGGUGAGGUAAUGGCUCACCAAGGCGACGAUGCGUAGCCGACCUGAGAGGGUGAUCGGCCACACUGGGACUGAGACACGGCCCAGACUCCUACGGGAGGCAGCAGUAGGGAAUCUUCCGCAAUGGACGAAAGUCUGACGGAGCAACGCCGCGUGAACGAUGAAGGCUUUCGGGUCGUAAAGUUCUGUUGUUAGGGAAGAACAAGUACCAGAGUAACUGCUGGUACCUUGACGGUACCUAACCAGAAAGCCACGGCUAACUACGUGCCAGCAGCCGCGGUAAUACGUAGGUGGCAAGCGUUAUCCGGAAUUAUUGGGCGUAAAGCGCUCGCAGGCGGUCUUUUAAGUCUGAUGUGAAAGCCCACGGCUCAACCGUGGAGGGUCAUUGGAAACUGGGAGACUUGAGUGCAGAAGAGGAGAGUGGAAUUCCACGUGUAGCGGUGAAAUGCGUAGAGAUGUGGAGGAACACCAGUGGCGAAGGCGACUCUCUGGUCUGUAACUGACGCUGAGGAGCGAAAGCGUGGGGAGCGAACAGGAUUAGAUACCCUGGUAGUCCACGCCGUAAACGAUGAGUGCUAAGUGUUAGAGGGUUUCCGCCCUUUAGUGCUGCAGCAAACGCAUUAAGCACUCCGCCUGGGGAGUACGGUCGCAAGACUGAAACUCAAAGGAAUUGACGGGGGCCCGCACAAGCGGUGGAGCAUGUGGUUUAAUUCGAAGCAACGCGAAG
rnacentral:rRNA from 2 species